rnacentral:lncRNA from 1 species
AGAGUACACCCAUCCGUUGCUCUCCAGGCGCUCGAGAGCUCCACUGCACUGGCUCUCGUCGCACUGCUCGUCGUCUCUUAGGCAAAGGUAACGUCCAUCCUCGUCGAGCGCGCAAGACUCGUCGAACUUUGUUCGGGUCCACUUGCCUAACCACGGUUUUUUCGAGGUGAAGUCGCUGCUGGUGCAUAGUGGAAGAGUAGUCCUUGUGCUGCCACCAGUAGAAGAAGUGAAGUGGAUUUGGAGGCGGAACACUUCCUUGUCCACAGCCCAUUCGGUUGCGGAGUGAUCCAUCCCGUGGAAGUUGGAGUACAAGAGAAUGGCCCUCAGCGUGUAGAUGCCCGUGAAUUCUCCGUCGACUUUGAGCUCCACGAGGUAAGAGCCAUCUCCAAGGUCUGUUACUGAUGGCCGUGACUUCCAUUGGUGACCUGCAGUUGAAAGGAUCUUUCCAACAACGCUCGAAAAGAACACACUCUUUUACUUACCCGAGAGAUCAAUCUCGUAGAAAUCUCCUCCAUGGCAUCUCCUGCUUCCGUCUGCUGCGUACGAGACUAUCCAAAACUUGUGGGAGACUUCCGUGGACAAGGUAAUCAUCUCCUCCUCGUUUCCUUCCAUGGGAAGGCCGAAGAAGUAAGCGGCUUCCGUGCUGAUAUUGUGGCAUGGUCUAGUUCCAUUCUCAGACACACGCUGGAGGAUCACUUGCGCGUCCCGUGAACUGGCUGGAGGAGCUCUUGCCUUGGGUGAAAGAAGGCGGCGAAGUAGAUCGAAG